rnacentral:lncRNA from 1 species
AUAUCAUUUUCUUGGUUAAGCUAUAAAAAUUUUAAAAUAAAUCUUCAUUUAAGUAAAUCUUUUUGAUUUAACGCAAUAUGAUCUCAUUUUCGUUUGGAACUAUAGAUAUUGUCACAACAAGAAUAUUCUUUUUUUUCUGUGUAGAUUGAAGCAUUUUAGUUUUUUAAGAUCUUGCGGUCGAACUUUUUUUGUCUUGAAGAGGGAUCGCAUUAUGCUUGCGCGGAGAUGUGUUAUCGGAUUUUAAAUCUGUCCGGGUGGAAGUUUUGCGCGAAAACGAAGAGACAUGACAAUUUGUCGAUAUGUACGAAGAGAUUUCUGAAAUGGAAAACUAUUGAGUUACAAAACUGUCGCGGCAAUUUCUGCCGUUAUACAGUCGUCUGUCACAGCGCCGUCGUGUUUUGCGCAAUAAAUUCUAAAUUUUUUGUUUCGAUCUCACCUGGACUAUUCGGUGUUCGGUUCAUUUGGUAAUGCUUGCGAAUUGACGGCUAAUCCGAAAAUAUUGAUGUUUUGUCGAUAACGACUGAUAACUCGAGAGGUAACACGCGUCAGUCAUACGUUUACAUACGUUUUAUUAUAUAUUUGUUACGAAGUAACAAAUAAUCCGAAUAGCUCGGAUGACAAUGUCGAUGGGAUAUCGCUGUGACUUUCCUUCGAUUACAAUGCUUAUUUCCCGCCGUCGACUGACGGCUUCAGUUAUUAACAGCUGACCACGGUUAACAUCGUCGCCGUCAAUUGUCAUCGUAUCCGAUGGGAGUGACAGUUGACAGCUUAAUGGAAUUUCCGAGUAGGCCCGCAAUCACGCGGCCGAAUUUGCGUCUCCCUUUCAGCGUCUCCCGGCGAAGUCUUGCAUUAUUGCUGUAUCAUUAUACCAUUGAUCCGUUACGAGAUUACCCGGUCGAGCGAAAGGGCAUUUUCAUACGAGUCUCAAAGGAAGAAGGAAAAACGCUGAUGGAGGUCCGAUAUUACAACGUUAAAGGCAGAAGGGCGAGGGGGGAGGAGGGGAAAGCUAAUUGUCACGCACCUAACACUGAGGGGGUCACGUAAGGGUUCAUUAGCCGCUUUACACAAGAUUGUAAUAUCAUCUGAUAAGGGGGGUUUAUUCGAAACUUUCGAUGGACAAAGAAAAAGUUUUUGACCCCUCUAAACGGGGGAGUCACCCGAGGAAGCAAAUAAUAACGCGAGUAAUAAGACGAAAGGCGAGAUGACUGUUCAGUUGAUAAUUAUAUCCCGAAGCUAUUCCGUGCUAUCGUCGGAGUACAUCGCCUUUAACUCGUUAUACUCGUACAUUCUCGUCGCUCUUAUUUCGCGAUUAAAGGAAGAAAAAAUAUUUUUAUAUCGACACGGAGACUACGUGCCCCUCCGUUCGUCAAAUGAUAUCGCGUUAUUAAUCCGUUCGCGCCGAUCACACGUCGGCGGUCGUCGGAAUCGUUUUUCCGCAUCGUGCGUGCGUGCGAGCGUGAGUGCGCGCGCGCGCUAACACACUUUCGACCACUUUGUUACGCUUUAUAUCACUUAACGCAUCGCGGCCCUCCCGUUCGCUCUCGCACCGCAUGGAUUUCCACCAGGGAACGAAAAAUCGACACGUCCGGUGUAAGUAUAUCGCACACGUGGGCGCAGUUACGAAAGACGUGAGCGCGAGACUUACCCCCCUUCCUCUCCCCCCUCCGGAAGGGAAACUUUCUUCAUUUUUCGUCCGAAACCUCGAUCGAGCUCGGGGAGAAGUUUCUCUUCCCUUCUCCCCCUGCCCCCUGAAAUAUCGCGGGAAUCAAUCGCCGGCGCGAGUGGCCGCGAUCGCGGCCCUAUUUUCCACGCUUUUCCCGGCACUCCGGAGAAAAGUAAUGGGUUAGUUUAGCCAAGUCGUCAAGCGUGCUGCCGUUUACGCCCGUUGCAGUAACGUUGGGAGUGGCUUUUGAUCUUCUCGGCUGAGCGAAGCGUUUUCCGCUUUAAUCUUCUUAAGCUUUCCCCGCGCGCAUUGAAUGUAAUCUAAUUUGUCCUUGGCAAAUAGCUUAAUUAAUAAUCGAGAAAAGGUUGAGGUAGGAGAAUGAAUUUUCGAGUUGUAUCUCUCUUGAAACGCGUUUCUCUUACGUGCGUAAACGAAAAAAGCCACCGUUGCGUCUAAUUACACUGUGCAUCAAAAAAAAAAUUAUUAGAACGAAUUAAAUAAAUCAUGAAAAAAAUGAAUGCAUAUUCAUCGUUGCAAAUUAGAUUGUUUUAAGUGUCAAAUUUAUAAAACCAAAAAUUUGCAUCAUAUGCAUUACUUUUUGUUGAUUAUACCUUAGUAAAAUAUUCCGGGAAACACGACGGAAUCACUUUCGAGCCGCUCUGAUGUGAGUCUCUCUUACUUCUUAUUUUUACAAUUUUUGAUAAAUUUUUCUCCCAAAACGAGGUGAGGGGGAAUUUGAGAAAUUUGGGUGAUUCCAUCAAGCAAUAGUUCGGAAAAUUUUAUUGGGCAUUUGCCUUGAUUUCAACAUUCUAUAUUCCGUUUCUGUGACGCUAUAUUUUUUACCGAAGAACUAGAAAGAGUUAAAAAUUUUUAAUUUCGUUUAAAUGAGAUUCAGAUAGAGCAAAAUCGAUGUAGUCUGAUACUUUGGGCUCCUUCAUUUAUCACCCUCAACCUUCAGAAUUGAAAUUGCGCAUCAAUAAUUGUUUUAUGUUAGCAAUUAGCGCGACACGUAAGCUUUGCAUUCAUAUAUAGCAGCGCGCAAAAUAACCAACUUUUGAUUCUAAUUGAAACUGUUUGACUUUUACAUUGAAAUCUCAUCUGUUCCAGCAAACGCGAUAAGCAGAUUCGCAAUCCUGUAAUCCGCGCAACAUCGAGCGCAAACAGUUUGAUAGAUUCGCAGAAUAUACAAACACACACGGUUGAUCCACCACGGUAGAUAUUACCGAAGCCGAUUAGACUUCCUCCGCGUUGAUUUCGCACGCUGAAUAUCCUCUCAUUCAUUCUUAAUAGAGUUUAAUUCAUAUACUAGAAGUUAUUAAAUGAUAAUAGGUAAGAAUUCAAGACUUAUUUGAUCAAAUGUCACAUGAAAUAAUUAUAAGCUCAAGCAAGAAUUUAGACUAUAAGUAAUAAUACGAUAAGAAUUUUAAAUGUAUAUUUUCUAAAUCAAAGUCAAUGUUUUAAUAUUGAAGGAGUAGUGCACAUAUCGCUGAAUGAUGUAGUUAUGAGUAUAGCACUGAAAUCAGGUCAUAUUUAUUAUCGUUCAGUGAAUAAUACAAUAAUUUUGAUUUAGAGAGUAAUGCAAAUAAAAUAAAAUUUUGAUCUCCAUGAAUGAAAAUCGAAAUGUUUGUACUAUAUAUUUAAAAUACUUGUCACAUUAUUUAAUUAUAGCAUUAAAAUCUUGUUUGGCUCGUAGUCCAUUAUUGUUUUAUGUGACAAAUAACGAACACAAUAGAACGAGCGAGAAUAAUAACGGAGAAUAAAACAAGAUUACGGCAGGAAAUAAAUUUCAAACAAUACACGGGACGUGUCCGAUGAACUCGUGUCGCAACUUUCGAUUCUUUCCACCUUAUGCCGUAGGAUAUUUUCAACCGGCGCGAAUUUAAGAUCUCACGGGAGAUUUACAAUGAUCCCCGUAACUAAACUCCCAUCAGGUGCCCUGUAGACGCGCGGUAGUUAUCGACAAUAUCGGAUAUUCCGAUGAAGAUUCCGAUGUUACAUGGAUAAGCUUACCGAAUUGAUCAGCCAACUGUGAUCCAAUUGAUCAUGGACCCACAGUGGACACGUCCAGUUCGUCCUCCAUAACCGAGUGAGACCUACACACACCCGAGACCGACACGUAUCCAUUGAUCUAGAUUCGAAACACAAAUUCUCAAUGGAACCAAGCAUUGUAAUGCCGCGAAUUUUCGCAACAAUGUGCUCGUAGUUCGGGUGUGCGGAUUUAUGAAAAAAAAAAAAAAAAAAAAAAAGUUGAAAGUUUCGCGAUCAACGCUGACGCUAAUAGGCACGCUAAUAAAUAAAACUAACGUCUCGUCGCAGUGUAAACGUCACCUCGCGCGCGGCGAACGAAAAUAUUUUUAUCCGUGUACGCAGAAUGCAAUUUACAUUUACAUCGCGCGACGCUUCACAAUUUUUAUGGAGCGGCAUGCAUUUUGCUGGUACGCGCGAUAAAGCGAUACUCUUGUUUACGCAAAAUAAAGUGCACUUACAGAAAAUACAGCGCGUUCUUAUCACGAAAGUAUUUCCGGAGAAAGAGAAAGAGAAAGAGGAAGAGAGAGGGAGAGAGAGAGAGAGAAACCAAGCAUCCCUAUUUAUUAUUUAUCGUUGUUUAUUCUGGGACAGAAAUGUGUGUUUUGAUCGAUACACUUUUAUGACGCAGUCACAACCGAUUUGUUGUUCUCCGGUAUAAUAAUAUACACGCGGAAACUUGCGUUCUACGAAAGAGGAACAAAUCAAUAUAAUAUGUCAUUUACCUUGCUGCGUAAAUAUCUUAAAUCUAGCGAAUGUAGGCUCCUCCCAGCAAUGGCGCACAACUAGUUUUAAUAAUGCAAACCGCGUAUUCUUUGUAUAACUUCAAUUUACUCGAACAGCCGCAUAUCGCGUUAUUAGAGUUACCCUUUACGAGCUUUUCUGCGGCUCGGCGUUUGGAGAAAUAUGACAAAGCAAGCAGACAAAAUCUUGUGCUUCGUUUAUAACAUUACGGCUCUUAUGUAUUCCGUGUAAUGUAUCCUCUUCAGUACGUGCGCUACAUAGGAACCUCGUCUGCUUGGCAGGUAUGUGGCGUUCCAUGUACAUAUACGUAUACGUUCUCGGAUGAGGAAACAGAAAGUCGGGAGUACUUCGCCCGGCGUUUCCCUUCCGCCGAGAAUCUUGCGGGAGCGCGCGUCGCUGUCGAAUGCAAAAAAAGAGGCGAAUGAAGAAUAGCGUCUGCGUGCACCACGCGUGAAAUUGUUCCGUGAUAAAAUAGUCCCCUCUCCCCUCCCCCUCUCUGCCUCCUCUCUCUCUCUCUCCACCUUCGCCUCUCCUCACGUACAUUCGACAUUAUGUUUAUGAACCGCGCAUAAAGUGCGCGUGAUAAAGUGUACGAAUUACUGGCAGUUGCGCCCAAACACGCUCAAUCGUUCUAAAAUGCGUGAUAUUACGCGCCCGUCGAAUAUUUAUGCACCUUUAAAUUUAACCGCAUUUACAACGCCGCCAUUUGUCGAGAAUUUAUCGCGCGCGUUAAGGUAUUCCCGUUUCCGUUGUUUUUGGAUUGUAAAUGCUUCAUUCCCGGUUUGGCCUCUCGUGUAACAGCAGUGCCAACGGAAGUCGAGCCACCGUUACAAUGCCGCGAGACUGAAAAUGUACACAAAUCGCA